UUCCACACGGUAAGAUUGCGGACUAAAUUUGGCAGUUCAAGCAAUGUAAGAGGCCAAACAAGACUUCAAAAUCAAGUGCUAUAUCAUUGUUGUUUUUUGAGAAAGCUAGUCACCAAACACCAUACUUGCCUAAUCAAAGUAUUAAGCAUAGUUUACAACUUUAAUAUAUAUUCCAUCCUGUUUAGGAAAAUGAUUUAGUACUAUUUAUUUUUAUAUUUUAAAAAUAUUUUU